GCGUGAGUGAGGAAGGCCUUCGGGUUGUAAAGCUCUUUCGCACGCGACGAUGAUGACGGUAGCGUGAGAAGAAGCCCCGGCUAACUUCGUGCCAGCAGCCGCGGUAAUACGAAGGGGGCGAGCGUUGUUCGGAAUUACUGGGCGUAAAGGGCGCGCAGGCGGCGAGUUUUGUCAGGCGUGAAAGCCCCGGGCUCAACCUGGGAACUGCGCUUGAAACGGGCUUGCUGGAGACCGGGAGAGGAGAGUGGAAUUCCCAGUGUAGAGGUGAAAUUCGU
rnacentral:rRNA from 1 species